CCUCGGAUCAGGUAGGGAUACCCGCUGAACUUAAGCAUAUCAAUAAGCGGAGGAAAAGAAACCAACCGGGAUUGCCUCAGUAACGGCGAGUGAAGCGGCAAGAGCUCAAAUUUGAAAGCUGGCUCCUUCGGGGUCCGCAUUGUAAUUUGCAGAGGAUGCUUCGGGUGCAGCCCCCGUCUAAGUGCCCUGGAACGGGCCGUCAUAGAGGGUGAGAAUCCCGUAUGGGGCGGGGUGUCUGCGUCCGUGUGAAGCUCCUUCGACGAGUCGAGUUGUUUGGGAAUGCAGCUCUAAAUGGGUGGUAAAUUUCAUCUAAAGCUAAAUACUGGCCGGAGACCGAUAGCGCACAAGUAGAGUGAUCGAAAGAUGAAAAGCACUUUGAAAAGAGAGUUAAACAGCACGUGAAAUUGUUGAAAGGGAAGCGCUUGCAACCAGACUCGCUCGCGGGGUUCAGCCGGGCUUCGGCCCGGUGUACUUCCCCGCGGGCGGGCCAGCGUCGGUUUGGGCGGCCGGUCAAAGGCCUCCGGAAUGUAGCGCCCUUCGGGGCGCCUUAUAGCCGGGGGUGCAAUGCGGCCAGCCUGGACCGAGGAACGCGCUUCGGCACGGACGCUGGCAUAAUGGUUGUAAACGACC
rnacentral:rRNA from 4 species